AGAGUUUGAUCAUGGCUCAGAACGUACGCUGGCGGCACGCCUAACACAUGCAAGUCGAACGAAGUAGCAAUACUUAGUGGCAGACGGGUGAGUAACAUGUAGGUAUCUACCCUUUGGCCUGGAAUAACACGAGGAAACUUGUGCUAAUACCGGAUAAGUCUUUACGGAGAAAGCUUUAUGCACCAUUGGAUGAGCCUGCACUUGAUUAGUUUGUUGGUGGGGUAAUGGCCUACCAAGACUGUGAUCAAUAGCUGAUUUGAGAGGAUGAUCAGCCACAUUGGGACUGAGACACGGCCCAAACUCCUACGGGAGGCAGCAGUGGGGAAUCUUGCACAAUGGAGGAAACUCUGAUGCAGCGAUGCCGCGUGAGUGAAGAAGGCCCUUGGGUUGUAAAGCUCUUUCGUCGGGGAAGAAAAUGACUGUACCCGAAUAAGAAGGUCCGGCUAACUUCGUGCCAGCAGCCGCGGUAAUACGAAGGGACCUAGCGUAGUUCGGAAUUACUGGGCUUAAAGAGUUCGUAGGUGGUUGAAAAAGUUAGUGGUGAAAUCCCAGAGCUUAACUCUGGAACUGCCAUUAAAACUUUUCAGCUAGAGUAUGAUAGAGGAAAGCAGAAUUUCUAGUGUAGAGGUGAAAUUCGUAGAUAUUAGAAAGAAUACCAAUUGCGAAGGCAGCUUUCUGGAUCAUUACUGACACUGAGGAACSAAAGCAUGGGUAGCGAAGAGGAUUAGAUACCCUCGUAGUCCAUGCCGUAAACGAUGUGUGUUAGACGUUGGAAAUUUAUUUUCAGUGUCGCAGGGAAACCGAUAAACACACCGCCUGGGGAGUACGACCGCAAGGUUAAAACUCAAAUGAAUUGACGGGGACCCGCACAAGUAGUGGAGCAUGUGGUUUAAUUCGAAGAUACGCGCAGAACCUUACCAACACUUGACAUGUUCGUCGCGACUCUAAGAGAUUAGAGUUUUCGGUUCGGCCGGACGAAACACAGGUGCUGCAUGGCUGUCGUCAGCUCGUGUCGUGAGAUGUUGGGUUAAGUCCCGCAACGAGCGCAACCCUCACUUUUAGUUGCCAUCAUUAAGUUGGGCACUCUGAAAGAACUGCCAGUGAUAAGCUGGAGGAAGGUGGGGAUGACGUCAAGUCCUCAUGGCCCUUACGUGUUGGGCUACACACGUGCUACAAUGGUAUCUACAACAGGAAGCAAGACUGCGAAGUUAAGCAAAUCCCUAAAAGAUACCUCAGUUCGGAUUGCACUCUGCAACUCGAGUGCAUGAAGCUGGAAUUACUAGUAAUCGUGGAUCAGCGUGCCACGGUGAAUGCGUUCCCGGGUCUUGUACACACCGCCCGUCACACCAUGGGAGUUGGUUCUACCUUAAGGCAAGGUUUCAAACCCUUGACCACGGUAUAGUCAGCGACUGGGGUGAAGUCGUAACAAGGUA
rnacentral:rRNA from 1 species